rnacentral:rRNA from 1 species
GACGAACGCUGGCGGCGUGCUUAACACAUGCAAGUCGAACGGAAAGGCCCUGCUUUUGUGGGGUGCUCGAGUGGCGAACGGGUGAGUAACACGCGAGUAACCUGCCCUUGACUUUGGGAUAACUUCAGGAAACUGGGGCUAAUACCGGAUAGGAGAUCCUGCAGCAUGGUGGGGGUUGGAAAGUUUCGGCGGUUGGGGAUGGACUCGCUGCUUAUCCGCUGGUUGGUGGAGUAGUGGCGUACCAAGGCUUCGACGGGUAGCCGGCCUGAGAGGGUGACCGGCCACAUGGGGACUGAGAUACGGCCCAGACUCCUACGGGAGGCAGCAGUGGGGAAUAUGGCAGAAUGGGCGGAAGCCUGAUGCAGCAACGCCGCGUGCGGGAUGACGGCCUUCGGGUUGUGAACCGCUUUCGCCGGUGACGAAGCGUGAGUGACGGUAAUGGGUAAAGAAGCACCGGCUAACUACGUG